CUACGGGAGGCAGCAGUGGGGAAUAUUGCACAAUGGGCGCAAGCCUGAUGCAGCCAUGCCGCGUGUAUGAAGAAGGCCUUCGGGUUGUAAAGUACUUUCAGCGGGGAGGAAGGGAGUAAAGUUAAUACCUUUGCUCAUUGACGUUACCCGCAGAAGAAGCACCGGCGAACUCCGUGCCAGCAGCCGCGGUAAUACGGAGGGUGCAAGCGUUGAAUCGGAAUUACUGGGCGUAAAGCGCACGCAGGCGGUUUGUUAAGUCAGAUGUGAAAUCCCCGGGCUCAACCUGGGAACUGCAUCUGAUACUGGCAAGCUUGAGUCUCGUAGAGGGGGGUAGAAUUCCAGGUGUAGCGGUGAAAUGCGUAGAGAUCUGGAGGAAUACCGGUGGCGAAGGCGGCCCCCUGGACGAAGACUGACGCUCAGGUGCGAAAGCGUGGGGAGCAAACAGGAUUAGAUACCCUUGUAGUC
rnacentral:rRNA from 1 species